rnacentral:lncRNA from 1 species
GGAGUCACAGGUACUAUUACUACUAUGGUGAGUUACAUUCUUUGCUGAAAAGAUGCUAAAUUUCAAUUACAGGAGAGUGGAAAAAAAAAUUUUUCCCCCAUCCAAAUUUAGGAACCACUCUAAACCCUGUCCCAGCUGGACUGGAGUGAGGUUUGUGAACCCAAAUUAAGAAACCCUAAUAAUAGGAAGGGCCUUCCUGUAUCUCCUUCCUUCUUAAACCCUUUUCGUCUGGAGGACAGAAGCCGGGGGUUUUACUCUGGGUCGUACUGCUGUGUGACCUUAAGUCAAUCAGUUUGCCUCUGUGAGCCAAAGUUCCCUAAAUCUGAAACAACGGCAAAGGCAAGAAUUGGGACGGGAGACCUUAAUUAUUUAUGCUCCAGGCAACUAAUUUAUGUUCUCUCAUUGAAUCGCCUAUUGAAUGGAUGGCAUUUUCAGCCAAUCCCAGGGAAGACAGGACGGCACUCCUCCAAUAGGAUCCUGGAGCCGUCGGUAGCAGUGGCGGCCUGAGACCACCCCUAGCGCUCUGGCAGGCGGGAGGGACGCAUCCGGUGCAUUCGCGAGAUCCAGUUGCCGGCACCUGGAAUCUGCUUGCGCGAGGCAGUGGCGGCACCGACGGCCCGAGGUUCCCGGUCACCAGGUUGCGGAGGAUCGUGCGGGUAGCAAAAGGAAGGCGAGUGCUCCUGCGGCCCCAGACAGCAACCAGGUGAGUACCCUGCGGAGCCCACCCCCAUGCCCGCCCUCCGCGCUCCCCUCAUUUCUGUCUCUUGGUAAACGGUGUACUUUGCAGGUCUGCAGCUCACGUGAUUGUCUGCUUGCUUGUCUGAAAGUCUCCGUCUCUCUCUGCCCACUCCACUCCCCCUUCCUCUGUGUCUAUCCCCACCUUUCUGUCUGCCUUUACCUUUCUGUCUGGCUCCCUCUCUGAGACAUAGGAGACCACUCAGACCUACAAGGCUGAAUCCUGAUCCAGCCAGUAAAAACUAGCUGUAAAACCUCGAGCCCCAUCCAGCUGGGCCUCAGUUUUCUCAUCUGUCAAAUGGGAGUCUAAUAUUCUCCUGAGACAAUACAUGUGCCUCACUUUGCCCUGCUACUGGCCCCUAGAAAAGUGUCAAUAAAUAAUAACUGUUAUGAUUGAAAAGAAUAUAGUCUCUCUUGGCCUUUGCCUUUAUUUUUUCCUGUCUCUGACCUCCCCACCCCAAUUGGUUCUUCUUUGUGAAUGUUUCUUUCUCUGUUAUUGCUUUUCCUCUUUCUGCCUCUUUCCCAUCCCGAAGCAGGUUAGAGGUACAUUGUUUAUAGCAAUGAGCUUGGCCUAAGAGUGCCUAUCAGCUUAGUCUGGGGCACUUGUCUGUUCUGUGGGUAAAAAAAACGGAGCCUGGCCUUAGGCUGCUUCUGGCCUCAUUGAGCAGACAACCCUCUUUGUUCCCCAGCUACUGUGUUAAACACGUGAGACCUACCCCCGUAGGGUGGGGAGCAGCUUAGAUGAAAAAGUGAAUCAGGUUCCUAUCCUGUAUCAUGUUGGUUACUACAAGAAAACCAGAGACCAGGGGUCUUCUCAUUACAGCCCCAGAGUUGACCAGGUGUCUGGAACUCACCUUCCGUCAUCAGCAAAAUCCCCUUCACUCUCACCCUAGUGUCUGAAUAGUCCUGUUGGUUUUUUUGCCUUGCCUUAGUGGUUCGCAUACCUUUUGGACAUAGCACUCCAUUUUUAUAAUGUACAUUUUGAAAUAUCUCCUUCACUGUUCUGAACUGAAGUGCAUAGAUAAUAGAAUCUGUCUACACACAUAAUUCCCCUCAAAACCAAUAUAGUGUCCUAAUUGGAUAUAAGGGAGAAGUAAAGGAAAAAUAAUGUAUAAUAAAGCAAUAUAUAUUUCGUUAUCUUUUUUUCUUUUAAAAUAUAUAUUUCAAUAUGUAAAGGCUGGGAUAUAAUUCCACCAGAAGACAUAAUGGAGUGGUCUUGAACAUAAUGGAGUGGUCUUGAACAUAUAAUCCUUGUACCUGGGAGUGUGACAGCUACACUGUGACUCAGAAACCAUGGAUAGGGUGAUGUGAUUUUCCUAGAUGAUGAGUAGUUCUUCAUAAGGUUCUAAACAAAACAAAGUGCAAUCUUCCCUCAAUUUAUAUGGUUGUUGAAUUACUGGAAAAGUCAUUAUAUAUUAAAAUCCAUGAUCUGGCUCCCACAAGCUCUCUGAUCUUAUCUCCUAUGACUCUCCCCACUUACUCCCUCUCUUUCACCCAUCCUGACCUCCUCUGGGCUACUUGAACAUAUUAGGCACACAUCCACCUCAGGAGGUUGAACUGGGCCAUCCCUUGUACUUAGAAUGCGCCCCCCUCCAAUAUCCACAAAGCUCAUGCCCUCACCUCCUUCAGGCCUCUACUCAGAUGUCACUUUCUCAAUGAGGCCUACCCUGACCUUCAUAUUUAAAAUUUUAGCACUCCCCUAGCAUGUACCCUGCUCUGUUUUU